UACGUAGGGGGCAAGCGUUGUCCGGAUUUACUGGGCGUAAAGAGCGUGUAGGCGGCCACGCAGGUCCGUUGUGAAAACUGGAGGCUCAACCUCCAGCUGUCGACGGAAACCGUGUGGCUAGAGUCCGGAAGAGGAGAGUGGAAUUCCUGGUGUAGCGGUGAAAUGCGUAGAUAUCAGGAGGAACACCAAUAGCGAAGGCAGCUCGCUGGGACGGUACUGACGCUGAGGCACGAAAGCGUGGGGAGCGAACAGG
rnacentral:rRNA from 1 species